GAAUAUGUGUGGGCUAACGGUUACUGUCGAGUCUUACCCGUCGGAAACUUCAGCAAUUCAUGCAUACCAGAAAAUGCUAAACUUUUAACCCGAACAUAUAUGGGAGAACCCCCAAAUGAACUAUCAGUACAGAUGUACUCAUUUGAGAAAGAUUCCAAUGAAGCGUUUGCCACGGUAACCGAGGAAUGUACACCUAUAGAGGCCCAUUUUUCCAAAGUGGCAGCAGGAUACGUUGAGUUUAUCGUGUUCUCUAACUUCUCCACUGGAAUAAAGGACCCCAGCGUUUUCACCCCUCCAGAUAUCUGUCAGAAAGAAAUGAGUUCUGAACACAUAGCUGGGAGGAGAAAGCGGGGAUUUUCUCUCUUUUAAAAAUUUAACAUGAAAUAUUAUGAAGGAAUGAUUAUGAUGAUAUCCAAUGUAUCAAUUUACUAUAACCUUUAUCCGAUUUGAUAAACACAUUCAUAUAUUUGUGUUACGAAUGUUGUAAUUUGGUUAAUAAAAAGUGGACACACACAG
rnacentral:misc_RNA from 1 species